rnacentral:rRNA from 1 species
CCUACGGGAGGCAGCAGUGGGGAAUAUUGCACAAUGGGGGAAACCCUGAUGCAGCAACGCCGCGUGAGUGAAGAAGUAUCUCGGUAUGUAAAGCUCUAUCAGCAGGGAAGAAAAUGACUGUACCUGACUAAGAAGCCCCGGCUAACUACGUGCCAGCAGCCGCGGUAAUACUGAGGGGGCAAGCGGUAUCAGGAUUUAAUGGGGGUAAAGGGAGCGUUGACGGUGUGGCAAGUCUGAAGUGAAAGAGCCGGGGUCAACCCCGGGACUGCUUGGGAAACUGUCAUGCUGGAGUGCUGGAGAAGUAAGCGGAAUUCCUAGUGUAGCGGUGAAAUGCGUAGAUAUUAGGCGGAACACCGGUGGCGAAGGCGGCUUACUGGACAGUAACUGACGUUGAGGCUCGAAAGCGUGGGGAGCGAACAGGAUUAGAUACCCGAGUAGUC